GUUCAAAAGAGGAAAGGCUUGCGGUGGAGACCUAGGCACCCAGAGACGAGGAAGGGCGUAGCAAGCGACGAAAUGCUUCGGGGAGUUGAAAAUAAGCAUAGAUCCGGAGAUUCCCAAAUAGGUCAACCUUUUAAACUGCCUGCUGAAUCCAUGAGCAGGCAAGAGACAACC
rnacentral:ncRNA from 1 species